rnacentral:rRNA from 1 species
CCUACGGGAUGCACCAGUGGGGAAUAUUGCACAAUGGGCGCAAGCCUGAUGCAGCCAUGCCGCGUGUAUGAAGAAGGCCUUCGGGUUGUAAAGUACUUUCAGCGGGGAGGAAGGUGUUGUGGUUAAUAACCACAGCAAUUGGCGUUACCCGCAGAAGAAGCACCGGCUAACUCCGCGCCAGCAGCCGCGGUAAUACGGAGGGUACAAGCGUUAAUCGGAAUUACUGGGCGUAAAGCGCACGCAGGCGGUCUGUCAAGUCGGAUGUGAAAUCCCCGGGCUCAACCUGGGAACUGCAUUCGAAACUGGCAGGCUAGAGUCUUGUAGAGGGGGGUAGAAUUCCAGGUGUAGCGGUGAAAUGCGUAGAGAUCUGGAGGAAUACCGGUGGCAAAGGCGGCCCCCUGGACAAAGGCUGACGCUCAGGUGCGAAAGCGUGGGGAGCAAACAGGAUUAGAUACCCCUGUAGUC